CAUCCUAAAAAAACUCUCUCACGAACUCCGCACGAUCUCCUCGGUCCACCCCACCCCGGCUCCUCUCCCCACGAUCUCCUCGCCGCCGCCCCCACCCACGCCGGCUGGUUCCGGCGAGCACCGGCCGCGCACAACACCCCACCUCCUCCUCCUCCCCCUCCCUUCCCCUUCCUCAUCUGCCCGCCCCUUCUCUCUCCUCCUUCCUCCCGGCGGCCGGCGAUGGGCGCGGACGAGGAGGAGCACCAGUCCCCCGCGCGGAAGCGCGAGCGCGAGGAGGGAAAACACUAUAACUGGAGGCCCCCCUCGUCUCCCGCCCGCCUCGCCGCCAACCCCCAAAUCGAUUUCAAAUUGCGCGCCGCCCGGUCGGCGUCCCUGGCGGCAGCGAUGGAGGUGGGCGACCUGCACAAGGUGUGGGAGAUCCGGGCGCUCAAGCGGAAGCCCGAGGAGCCGGCGGCCCGCGCGCUCCUCAACCGCGUCGCCAAGCAGGUCCAGCCCAUCAUGCGCCGCCGCAAGUGGCGCGUCAAGGUCCUCUCCGAGUUCUCGCCCAAGAACCCGAGGCUGCUGGGGCUCAACGUCAACCGGGGCGUCGAGGUGAAGCUGCGGCUCCGGCGCGACGGCCGGGACCUCGACUUCAUCCCCUACGAGGAGGUGCUCGACACCAUGCUCCACGAGCUCGCGCACAACGCGCGCGGGCCCCACGACGCGCAGUUCUACAAGCUCUGGGACGAGCUCCGCAAGUUUAACAGUACAACGGAUGGGGCUGUUAAAUAUGAGAUUCCAAUUGUGGCAGUGCAUUGCAAAAUAACUAUUUGAGGUAUAUAUGGCAUGCCAUCUAUGACUAUGAUGCAUGCAGUUCCUCCCAGAGUGUUCCUCUCCAGCUACCAGGCCUUUCGAUGGAUGUUACUCUGCGCAGGUUAACCAAUUAAUUGAACCACAAGGAUAGAGAUCUACACUCUAUUCAACAAUUUUCUCGAGAAGUUUGAUUUGUAUUCGAUAUUUCAUGGACUUAAAUAAUCUCUAUCUGUAAACACAUUGGUUUCUUUCAUCCAGUGAACCCAGGGAAGUCAUUCAUUUGUGAUGCCAUGGAAGUAUUGUUUGAAGUUUCCUUGCUGUCAAGACUUUUUUUUCAACAUCUAUGAGGUGGCAAGCAAGGUAACUGCAGUUCAUAUCAGGUAUAAUGUGAAUGUAGGUCCAUCAUCUCAUCAUCCUUUACGCCCUUUCUUUCCCUAAUAUUUUACAGCAAACCAACAGAUCAGCUAACCACAAGCUUAGUACGUGGUAUACUGCAUAAAUAUCUAGCUUGGUAGAAAGCAUGGUCAGUAGAGUGUUUUCUAACCAUGCACUAGCAGUGCCCACUCCAUGCUACUGUUAUGUACACAGACGAGAAGUUUGUUUGAGAAAGAGUAUGCUUGCUGCCUUUCAUCUAAUAUCAUAUGUUUCUGUUUCCUAUGUGAAACUGAUGGUUCACGUCUCUAACUUCUACUGCUUUAUAGCUUUGCACAAAAGUUUUUGUAACCAUGAUGCUGAUAUACCUAUGAUUGUUACUUCAUGUGCUACUACAUUAGUAGGGAGAUUUUUAUAAAGGUACCAGAAUUUAUCUUCUUCCACAUUAAGUCAAUAUUUAGUAAUGGAGUUCUAUUUUUGUUUGCAAACCAGUUCAUUCGUCGCAAGGAAGAAAAUCUACUCUGGAUAGUUGAUUUAGUGUUUCUUGAACAUGGCCAGGGCAAUGGAUAAAAUCUACUCUGGAUAGUUGACAGAGGGAGUACAUGCUAAGUUGACUUUUUUUCCUGUGGAUUUGCUUAUCGUGAAGAUGCUUGCAAGGAUGCAGAGGGAGCGGAUCAUUUGGAGAGAUAGGAUGCCACUGUUUGGUGUUUUUAUGCAUUUUGGUUUGCUUGUAACUGUGUUUGCACUAGCUGGGAGUAAGUGACUUCAAGAAGUGUAGGUGUUUUAAUUGAAGGCAUGAAAAGCCAUGACAAUAUGUAUGCUCUUACAGGAUGUGCUCUAAUGCUGCUGGUUUAUUAUAAAUCUUGGAUUAGUAAU